UACGGGGGGGGGCAAGCGUUGUUCGGAAUUACUGGGCGUAAAGGGCUCGUAGGCGGCCAACUAAGUCAUACGUGAAAUCCCUCGGCUUAACCGGGGAACUGCGUCUGAUACUGGAUGGCUUGAGUUCGGGAGAGGGAUGCGGAAUUCCAGGUGUAGCGGUGAAAUGCGUAGAUAUCUGGAGGAAUACCGGUGGCGAAGGCGGCAUCCUGGACCGACAUUGACGCUGAUGAGCGAAAGCUAGGGGAGCAAACGGG
rnacentral:rRNA from 1 species